CAGCAUAAUACACUUUAAGUCAUGAAGAGAUCCCAGGCCAAACUUAGCAAGACUAAAUAAAGAGCAGCCAACAGUAAGAAAACUGCAACUUUCAUUCCAAUAAACACCUGUGCAUUAUCACAAAUAAUUAGCCAAGAAAAAUAUGGAUAUAAUGCAAUACCAAUAUAUCAAAAGUUGUAUACAGAUGAAUACGCAUGGAAUGCGGAGCUCAUGUGAAGUCUGGAAUCCCUUAAUAGGGCCAAUAUCAAGAUCCAAAGCAAGAGCAUUCAUUGGAAAAGAUGAGCAUUAAAAUACAAAACAAAGUCACUAUCGAAAUGUUCAAUGCAAUGCAUGUUAACCUUGACACAAGUUAGAUGGUAUUGCACGUUUAUCUUAGUCCAAGAAAAAAGUAACUGAAGUCCAUGAAUUCCAGUUUGGAGUCCGUCAUUCAAAAAGAACAAAUAAAAUUACGUAACUCUAAACCAUCUUGUUUGUUGCCUAACACUCUUCCUUACAUGUUGAAAAGAUUUUGCUAACUGAAUAUUAUUAGAAGAGGGAAAGUAAAGACCAGGCCUAAGUAAAUAUGUAAGAGAUUCCACUGCUUGCAGAAACUUUCUUUCAUCUGACCACCAUGAAGGCAUGAACAUGAUAAUGUACUGGUCAAGAUUUUUUGUAAGCUUUAGAAUUCAAUGAACCAAUUUUCAUAUUUCAAAACAACCCCAGAAGGUUAUGUUAUAAACAAAUGGAUUAGUAAAUAUAUAUGGAGCUCUAGCUGCCUUCUUGUCUGUUACACUCACUUGAUUUUAGAGCUAUGUUAUUCGCAUUCGAAUCGAGUGUCUGGUUGGAUGAGGUAGUUUGAAGUGUCCGACAUGGGACUCCCAAUUUUGCCAAUUUUUUACACUAAAAUGAAGUGUCCAGUACCCACACCCUUGUCCAAGUGUCGAGUGUCGGACGCGGGUACUUUAUGGAAAGUGAAGAGUUUAUGUUACAUAGUGUUAGAGCAAAAAACGAAUAAAAGUACAACAUGAUAAGAUAGACAAUAUGAAAUUCCUGAAAGGAAAGAUCUUGACAUCCUUAGAUUUACCAAGACCUUUAUAUGUUAUAUGAAGCACAAUCUCAAAAAGAAAAGGCUUUAGACCCAAUCCUCCACCACAAUUAAUCCCAAAAAAAUAUGUCCGCAACCUCUUGCAACUGAGGAAUAAUUAACAAAUCACCACUCCUUCCUUUUUCUACUGUUAUACUUCUUUUUCUAGAUUGAGAUAGAGCAAUAUCCAAUAUUCCUACUCCCUCCUUCCGAAAUUGAGAGUCCAACUUUCAUUUUCAGGAUGUUCAGAAACUAGAGUCCACAUUCCUAAUAAAUGCACCAAAUCACAUUAUAUUUAAGAGGUUUUAAUCUUAACCAUUUAUUAUACUUAGCAAAUUUCCUGAAAAAGUUUGACUUCCUAGGUGGACUCUUAUUUGGACAGAGGGAGUACAAUGUAAGAAUUCUCAAUCACAUGUUAGCAGUAGUUGGAGAAGUGUCAGAUCAAGGAUUGAAAAUUAUGUAUGUCAAGUUAUAAACUAAUGUCUUUGUCUUCCUUGUGUUUAGUAAGAUUCCCUUCCUUGUAGGAGUUGGUACUUCUUACCUGAUAAUUGCUUUUAGGAUAUAAUAUGGUUGCAUAAUUACAUAACUGAAAGAGUUCAAAUAACGGCUUGGACUAGAACAUAACUGAUAAUGGAAUUGUUUUAUAUAUAUAAAUGCUGCCGUCAUGUACAACAGACUAUUAGAUUAGGUCAAAGGUAGCAGCUUUUCAUACUGCAAGAGGAUGCUCCAGAAAUGAUGCUACAGCUUAAUCACCAGGUUUAUGUAUCGAUAACAAAAACUGAUCAGCAGCAACGCUAAUACCGUAUUUCAGCAGUAUUUGUUGCACCUUGAAAGCUGCAGUUUCAAAAGGAUUCUGAACCCAUUUUUUCUCGUAGCCAAGAAUGAGUGCCUGGUAAGUAACAUCGUUUGGAACUAUACCAUGUUUAACCAUCAUAUUAACCAACUGGCACGCAUCAUCAACACUGCCUACACUACAAAAUCCAUGUAUAAGUGUGUUAUACAACAUCAGAUCUGUAACCAAACCUAUACCAAGCAUCUUAUUAAAAAGAGCAUUAGCCUCUUCCAUACAACAUGCCCUACAGUACCCAUUAAGAAGGGCACUGCACAUCACAACAUCAGGCUUCAUAUGGUGCUGACUCAUGUAAAACCACACAAGCAAUGCCUCUUCAAAGUUUCCAUCCUUGAGUACCCGCUGAUGAUAUCAGUAAACGUUACAACAUCGGGAGAAAACCCCCUUCUCAUGAGCUCAUCCAGCAUAUCUUUAGCUUCAGUCACAAAUCCUAGAAGGAUAAGACUGUGAAUGAUAGUAUUAUAAGUCACCACAUCAGGAGAUAUACCAGCUGAUUUCAUCAUAUCUAAGAUAGCAAAAGCUUUAUGUAAGUUGCCCUUCUUUCCAUACCCAUUAAUUAAGGUGUUGUACAUAGUAAUAUCAGGUGCCAAACCCACCUUUAUCAUAUUGUUAUAUAAAUGUUCUGCUGUAUACACAUCUCCAGACUUGCAAUAACCAUCAAUCAUAAUGGUGUAGGUAGUAACAGAUGCUUUAAUUCCCCUCUUCAACAUCUUCCCCAAAAAGAUAAGGGCAUUAUUGACAUCCUUCACUUUGCAUAUCCUCCGAUGAUAGUGGUGUGACUACAACAAUUAGGAAGUAAACUCUAUCAUCUCUUGGAAAAUGUUAGACGCUGCAGCCAUGUUACCAUCUGUACACAAUUUGGAAAUGAAGCUGUUGUAGAUGUAAAUAUUAGGGGGAAGACUAAAUAUCUUCAAAAUAUCAAUUGCUUUAUUGGAAUAACCCAUUUUGCAGAGCCCAUAAAUCAGACAACUAACAGAUACCGAAUUAGGGGUGUUACCCAUCUGGCCCAUUUUUAAUAAUAAAGAGGUCGCCUCCUUUAAAAGACUAAUUUUACAGAGGGAAUUAAUCAAUAGUGUAUGCAACUACGUCGGGAUUAAUCCCAUAGUUUUUCAUUUCUAUCAUCAUCUUCCAACCACAUUCAAGAUUGCCUUCUCUACAGUAAUUGUGUAUAAAUAAGCUAAAAAUUGAAGUAUUAACGCACAGUCCCUGGCUUUGAAUCUCUUCCAGAAAAUCCCAUGCCAAGUUCAAUCUGUUUCGAUUGUAAUAAUGCUCUAAUAAGUGAAUUGCAAACCCCUAAAGAUGGAAAGAAAUUAUAAUGUUUCAUUUGACAAGUUAAUUUCAGAGCCAUAUUUGUCAUAUUUUCCUUAACAUAGCAGUCAACAAUCAUGCUAUAUGCAGUUCCCAAAGUGUUUCUCUCAGUAUGGGUUUCAUGAAGGGCUUCCAAAAUCAGUCUCGCUGCAACUAUUUUUUUCAUAGCCUAAAUUCCAACCGUGUGUCUUAAGAAUAAAUUUAAUUCUUCUCAACUUAUCUGCAUCCUCAGCUUUCAGAUGAAAUCCAUACAUGGAAUAAUUCUUGUCAUUUACAAACUGAAAUACAUUAUUCCCACGAAGACCAAGAGAAGUCUUAUCAUGUGAUUCUGUAGAUUCAGCUGAAAUGCAUGUCACUUGGGAGAACAUCCUGACCAUGUUCAUUAUCAUCCACCCCAACACAAUCAUCACAGAAAGAGACCUGAUUGUCCUUGAAAUAUGAGGAACGUAGUUCUAAUAAGGCAAGAGACGAAAAAAUCCUAAAUGGUUUAAUCUUCCUAUCAAAUAUCAGCUUGGAUCCAGAACAACAAGCUUUGAUAACUGAAAUCAAUGCCUUCGUGAAAAGUUAUCCGGAUACUAGCAGGAAUAGAUGCCGUACACCAAGAAAAAUGAAAAAUUGCCAGUGUUAAAAGGGGGAAAUAUAUCUGAGCAUAUGAAAUGGGCCUCGGCACAUAUAAUGUAGAAAUUUGCUCAAAUUAUAAAAUACAAAAGUUAGAGCGCAUUGAGACGGCGGCUCUAUACUUCACAAACUGCUGGCAAGUACUAUUCUGGAAACAAAAACAGAAUCACAAGAUAUUUCAAUGUCUUUUGCUUCACUAAAGCAAUCAUUUUGUCAUUUUGCCUACAGAAAUCCCAAAACAGGAAAUAGUUACUUCUAAAUAGAAAAAUAAGAACAAAGUUGUAGUAAAUUACUUUAAGCCUUAAUAUACAAUAAAAGUUAACAUGGGUUAUCAAUAUACUUGUAUCUUUGAGGCCCAAACAUACAUAAAUAUAUGCAUUCUACAAACUCCAUUUAUAAUUAAAGAAAAAUGACAAAUGGAGUAAUGAUAUGGAAGAGAGAAUUAUACCUCUGACAAUGGAAGGAACCUUGAUAUGCUCCCCAUCGCUUCUGCUGCUGAGAAAAGCAGCAUUUUUCAUGGGACCUUCAUUAUCAAUACUCCUUCUUCUGCGUCAAGAAAAAAACAGCAUUUCGAAAGCAGAUUAUACAGAAGAAAGAUAAUUUUCUGCCCAAAUAGAUGAAAAAAUCAAACUGGCCACAGCAAAAAAAUUUAAAAAACAAAUUGGGAACUGUUUUGGAUUUGGCUGCGCUACCAAAUCAGAGGGAUUUAGGGGUUUUACCGGUGGUGCUAAUGGAAGCAAGAAAGCUGGGUUUUUGUGGGGUUUUGCUGUUGUCAAUCACAAUUAGGAAGAGGUGGGUUUAGGAAUUGGAGGCGUUGAAACCAGCUGUAGUAGCUCUUGACAAAUGAGCGAGAAGACGGCUUAUGCACAAUGACA
rnacentral:lncRNA from 1 species